rnacentral:rRNA from 1 species
AGUGAACGCUGGCGGUAGGCCUAACACAUGCAAGUCGAACGGCAGCACAGUAAGAGCUUGCUCUUACGGGUGGCGAGUGGCGGACGGGUGAGGAAGACAACGGAAUCUACUUUUUCGGGGGGGAUAACGAAGGGAAACUUACGCUAAUACCGCAUACGACCUACGGGUGAAAGCAGGGGAUCUUCGGACCUUGCGCGCUUGCAGGAGCAGAUGUCGGAUUAGCUAGUUGGCGGGGUAAAGGCCCACCAAGGCGACGAUCCGUAGCUGGUCUGAGAGGAUGUUCAGCCACACUGGAACUGAGACACGGUCCAGACUCCUACGGGAGGCAGCAGUGGGGAAUAUUGGACAAUGGGCGCAAGCCUGAUCCAGCCAUACCGCGUGGGUGAAGAAGGCCUUCGGGUUGUAAAGCCCUUUUGUUGGGAAAGAAAAGCAGCAGGUUAAUACCCCGCUGUUCUGACGGUACCCAAAGAAUAAGCACCGGCUAACUUCGUG